AAAUUAUUCAGAUAAGUCAAAUUAUUCCUAGGAGGAGAGAGGAUACUGGGAUGGUAUACACUAACACAUCAGUAUCUCCCCAAAAGACAGGCUCAAAUGUUGGUGCAUUAGGUACAUAAACCUAAUAACUUACAGCUGAUCACCGAACAGAAGAGACAGAUACCAGAGCACAUAUUGCCAGAAAAAGAUGGUCAGCCAUACCUGUCUUCUGGACUGCUGGAAAAUAAUCCGACCCUGGAAUGCAAGAGAUCUCACAUGACUCCAUGUUGGUAACAAACCGAAAGUAUCCAAAACUGAAAGAAGUGGAUGAUGUGCUUGGUGGAGCAGCUGCCUGGGAGAACGUGGACUCUACUGCAGAGCCAUGUCCCAAAUGUGAACAUCCGCGUGCCUAUUUCAUGCAGCUUCAGACCCGUUCUGCAGAUGAGCCAAUGACCACCUUCUACAAGUGCUGCAAUGCUCAGUGUGGACAUCGCUGGAGAGACUAGGGGCAGGGCUUCCCAGCUGCAGCCCUGACUUUGUGUGCUGAAGGUCUUUGCUGUGUGAUAGGAAGCUAACUCUUCUGUGGUGGAGGACGAGGGUGAAACAGGUCCUCUGCAGGGCUGCCACAUCAAGGGUGAUCUUGUAAAAUUUGACUUCUUAAUUGGGAUGGACAUUAACAUACCUGGACCACACGUGCAGCAGGUUUUGUAAGAAAUUGCUUCCUGGGAGUAGGAAUCACUAUGCUUAAUCCUUAUAUAAAUUAAAGGUGAGUGGAGUCUUACCCUUAGGGCACCUUGAUAGGUUUCCAUUCCAGAGCAACAAGGUCAGAGUUGCAGGUGUCCAAACCAAGGUUGCUAACACAAAACACCUAAGAAAAGCUUGCCAAUUCUUCACGUGCUAAGUCUAGCUGGAAAUAGACACCCACGUCUCAAAGUUUGUCACUGUGCACUGUGUCCCUGCUUUCUCUGAUCACAGCCUUACUCCUAAGACCUUGUUGCCAUGGUCAUUGGCUCAAUUCCUUAUCACUUACUCUAAGAAUGUGCUUUUGACCAAUGAGACGUAACUUUUUCUUUAGCUUCAAGCCUCCUGAAGGAGAAGAAAUCUCAGGCGAGAGGAGAAGAAGCUAGGAGGUAUUAGAAUUAGGAAAGAAUUGGAAUAGAGGCAGAAGAAUAGAGACAUGUUUGGAACAGCAUGUUAUCCCUCAGAUAUUUUAAGUCCUUUCGCUUGCUGUAGCAUUUCAUCUGAACCCUGAAGAGGGUCUUGGGGCUGGACCCCAAAGGCCCUUAAUAAGUAACCCCCAUACACUAUCCCUCAUUAUUGUGAGCUAGCCCCCAACUUGGACACAGACCCCUGCUUGAACAAAGGAAACACCGUCUGCCAGAAGUUCAUGAAGGCCACCUGCCUGCAGACCUCCCACACUCUCUCAGUGUCCCUUCAACACUAUCCUCAAGACCCUUCCCCUCUUUGCUUUUUUCAACCCCUAACUUGGACAGAGACACUCUGAUGGAACGAUAGCCAUGCCUACUGCCAGAUUUCUGGCCCCUCCCUAUCUUGGGAGGGGGAACACAUGUCUAACCAUAGGCCACACAAACCAGAAGAUCAGAGAGCAGAUAGAAACUGAGGAACAAAACAACCAACCAACAAAGACAAAUUGAGAAAUCAGCACCUAGACCCAUAAACACCUCAAACCCAGAUACCUAGACACCAGAGUAAGAGCACAAUCAACAACAGCCAGGGCAAUAUGUCACUACCAGAUUCUCGCUAUCCUAUGACAGCAAGCCCUGAAUAUUUCACAACUAAAGCACAAGCAAAAGACAAUAAGACCAACUUUAUGAAGAUGAUAGAGGUCCUUAAAGAGGAAAUGAAUACAUUAAAGAAAGCUAAGGAAAAAAAGUUGAUACAAAUGAAUGAAUCUGUUCUAGUCCUGAAAAUGGAAAUAGAAACAAUAAAAAAAAAACACAACCUGAAGGAAUUCUAGAAAUGAAAAUCUAGGUAAGUGAAUGGGAAUUAUAAAGGCAAGCUUCAAAAAAAAGAAUACAAGACAUGGACCAGAGAAAUUCAAGCAGUACAGAUACAAUAGAAGAAAUGGAAAUUUCAGUCAAAGAAAAUGUUAAAUAUAAAGUUUCCUGAAAUAUAACAUUCAUGAAGUCUGGAACACUAUGAAAAGAUCAAAGCUAAGAAUAAUAGAAACGAAGGGGAAGAAUUCCAGCUCAAAAGCCCAGAAAAUAUUUUCAAAUGCAUCUUAGUCAAAGAUUUUCCUAAAAGACACCAGGAAAACAAACCCCACAGAAUCACCUUAACAGGGCUUGUGGGGUGCACAGAGACUAAUGCAGCAUUCAUGUGGACUUCAAGGGUCUUAGCUAGGUCCACUGCAUAUACAUUAAGGUUGUGUAGCUUGGUGUAUCUGUGAGACUUCUAACAGUGAGAGUGGGGGAGGGUGUCUCUGACUCUUUUGUCUGCUCGUAAGACCCUUUUUCUCCUCCUGGUUUGCCUAGUCCAGGCUUGAUAUGGGGUUUGGUGUAGGAUUUCCCUCUGUAUGCUAUGAAUAUGUUUUAUUACCACUGGUUAAUAAAAAAGUUCUUUGGCCUAUGGCAGGGCAGAAUAUAGCAAGUAGGAAAGAAGGAGUCAAAGAGAUGUCAUGUAAUUGCUGAAGCAGAAGGAUGCUAGAACCUUACUGUCAAGGCCCAGCCUGGAAGGUGCUGCAGAACUGUCUUCCCAGCACUGGACAGCAGACGAAGGAAAAGGUUGUUGUUGAAAUAAGCUGAGGAGAAUUGGAGCAGAAUGGAAUAAAGAGAAAAAGGAGAAUAAAACAAUGAAGAGAAUUAGAGCUGAAGAAGAAUGAAAGGGAAUGAUCCUCAGAUUGUAUGUAGCCCUGCUACUCUAAAAAGCAUUUCCUUAGUGACCCUGGGUGCAGCCCCGAGAGCUGAACUCUCCCAGGCUGCCUAAAAAAAAGCUACAGAGAAACCCUGUCUCGAAAAACCAAAAAGUGAAAAAAGAAAAAAAAAAAAAAAGAAA